CCUACGGGUGGCAGCAGUGAGGAAUAUUGGUCAAUGGACGCAAGCCUGAACCAGCCAAGUAGCGUGAAGGAUGACGGCCCUAUGAGUUGUAAACUUCUUUUGUAAAAGAAUAAAGUUAGAUACGUGUGUUCAUCUGAAAGUACUGUAUGAAUAAGGAUCGGCUAACUCCGUGCCAGCAGCCGCGGUAAUACGGAGGAUCCAAGCGUUAUCCGGAUUUAUUGGGUUUAAAGGGUGCGUAGAUGGGUUGAUAAGUUAGAGGUGAAAGGUCGAGGCUUAACCGGGAAAUUGCAACUGAUACUGGCAGUCUUGAGAGUAGUUGCGGUAGGCGGAAUGCAUGGUGUAGCGGUGAAAUGCUUAGAUAUCAUGCAGAACACCGAUUGCGAAGGCAGCUUACUAAUCUGCCUCUGACGUUGAGGCACGAAAGUGUGGGGAGCAAACAGGAUUAGAUACCCUGGUAGUC
rnacentral:rRNA from 1 species